rnacentral:rRNA from 1 species
UACGUAGGGGGCAAGCGUUGACCGGAUUCAUUGGGCGUAAAGAGCGUGUAGGCGGCCAGGUAGGUCGGUUGUGAAAACUGGAGGCUCAACCUUCAGAGGUCGACCGAAACCAUCUGGCUAGAGUCCGGGAGAGGAGAGUGGAAUUCCUGGUGUAGCGGUGAAAUGCGCAGAUAUCAGGAAGAACACCCGUGGUGAAAGCGGCUGUGUUGAACGGUACUGACGCUGAGACGCGAAAGCGUGGGGAGCGAACAGU